rnacentral:lncRNA from 1 species
UCGGAUAUUCUCAAUUUGCAGCCCAUUAACUUGCUUUUGGGCCAGGCCUAAAAUAACUUUUUUCUCUAAUUAAUUAGUAAUUACGUUAGCAAUUAAUAUGGCUGAUAUUCUGCUAACAAAUGACGACAAAAAAGUCUCUCCUACUCCUCCACGUCAUCGGCCCAUCAUUUCUAUCGCCAUAUCUCCAACCGUCCCUCACACGCUUUUUUUGUUUCCAUCUCAAAAUUAUUCCCAUUACUUUGUCCUGCUCUCAUCAUCAAAUUCCUCCGGCCGAUCAACCUCCCAACCGCCACCGCAUUACACGACGGCCGAUCAUAUCACUAGGAAGCACGCCACCGAUCCACAGCAGUCCCAACACCCAUAUCUCCAACCGUCCCUCACACGCUUUUUUUGUUUCCAUCUCAAAAUUAUUCCCAUUACUUUGUCCUGCUCUCAUCAUCAAAUUCCUCCGGCCGAUCAACCUCCCAACCGCCACCGCAUUACACGACGGCCGAUCAUAUCACUAGGAAGCAUGCCACCGAUCAAUAGCAGCAACAACAGCAAUUCAACUACCACCGCAACCAGCGACGUCGUAGGCGUCCACACAGAUGACCUCCAGUCGAUCUU